ACGUUUGAAAUGCGAUGCAUAUUUUCUAAAACGUUCUGUAUUAUACCAUUUAAUUAAUCCCCAGUUGCUGUGCAUGCGCUUUUAAGUGUACUAAACAAACCAUUUUAUACACUAUAAUUUAUUAAUUUCCUUGUGAAUCAGAGUUUGGAUAAUCUUUCCCUAAUGAAGUUCAAUCAAGGCUAAAAACUAGAUAGAUCGAUAUUUUCUAUAUAUAUCCAUGUAUAUAUGUGUUCCAGAGAAGCGGGGAUCGUAGAUGACGAAGUAACUAAAACUAAUGUACUCAGCAGCAGCAGCAGCAGCAGCAGUAGCAGUAGUAGUAGUAGUAGUAGUAGUAGUAGUAGUAGUAGCAGUAGUAGUAGUAGUAGUAGUAGUAGUAGUCUGUUAUGUAAUUGUUAGUAAUA